UGCCUGGCAUUCCUGCAGUUGCCAAGGGGUGGGGCUGGGCUUUUGUUCCUCCCGUAUUAUUCAGUCAUUGGCUGUGGGCGCCCAGGAAGAAGCGUGACCUUGGGUGGGGCAGUCUUCUUCAGCCAAUCCUCAGAGAGGACUAACAGCCCUCCCAGCAGAGGGAGAUUAAGUCCUUCACUCCCGGGAGGUGUCUGGGAAGCACAUCCCAGUGUGUACCGCAGCAGCUAUGCAUGUGUCGUUUUACCCAUGAGAAAUCGGAAGUUCAGAAGGGACAGAGCCAGGAUGUGAGCCUAGAUCUAUUAACACCUGUGAAUCCUGUGCUGUUUUCCACCAUUCUUGCUGCCAAUUCGGCACAUUUUCAUGCCUCUCGACUUCUUACGGUGCCCGCCAUAUUCCCAGCUGCUGCCUGAACUUAUCAAAGUGGACCCAAUGAAAGCUGUGCUGAGGAGGAUUAUUCUGCUGCUGAGCCUGGGUACAUUGGUGAGGCCGGGAACCUGGGACUGAAUUCCAAGCAGAGAACCAGAAGAGCUGUACAGAAAUCCAGGCAAGGGCCAAGAAGGUGGGAAUGGAGUAGCAAGUACUGAAUUAGUUAGUUAAUUAAUUAAUUAUUUUUUUUUUUCAGAUGGAGUCUCACUCUGUUGCCCAGGCUGGAGUACAGUGGUGUAAUCUUGGCUCACAGCAAUCUCAGCCUCCAGGAUUCAAGUGAUUCUCUUGCCUCAGCCUCCCAAGUGGCUAGGAUUACUGGUGCCCGCCACCAUACUCAGCUAAUUUUUUGUAUUUUUAGUAGAGACAGUAUUUCGCCAUGUUGGCCAGGCUAGUCUGGAACUCCCGACCUCAAGUGAUUGGCCGGUCUCCCGCAAGUGCUGAAUUUAAACGCAGCUCUCCCGAGCCUUCUAUUGGGUUCUGCCUAAUGGUAACCACAGAGGCUCCACUUACUCUGUAGAUCUCCUGGGAGCAGCAGGAAACAACAAACCCUUAGCUUUUUCCAAUAAUAGCCAUUCUCCUCACUGACCUCACACAGACAGAUGUCCAUUGAGCCCUACAGGAGUUUGACAGUUUGUCCAAACAACUGUUUUUAGUUGAGGCUAUAAAUUCUUAGGAAAGGGUUUGUCCGUGGCACACUAAAUCAGUUGGCUAAUAUGAAUUACUCUGAUCAUCUUCUUAGAAAGGA
rnacentral:lncRNA from 13 species